AUAGCAUCCUACUAUUGUUUCUGCCUAAAAUAAGCAGCAAUAAGAAUGAGUGUGAGGAAGACCACAGCAGCAGGACCCACCUGUUUCUGAGGCCUAGGGAGAUGCAGUGAUAGAUUUCAGCUUAUUCCUCAUUCUCAGGUUUCUGUACCUUGACCCUCCAUAGAGUGAACUUCUAGGUUCUGAGCUGACUCCUUGGAAACCCUAGACUCCAGGGACGCGCUUCUAGAACCUGCUCAGAUUGCUACUCAGUUAACAGCCUGGCCCAGGAGGAUUGCAACACCCAGCCUGGCUCCCAGGCAAGCUAAAGAGGGCUUGAUGAUGGGAAGAGGUUAAGGGGUACGUGGAGAGAAAGAAGGAUCAGAAGGCGGAAACAUCAUAGACCUCCUGGGAUGCCUUCUGCAGGAUCACAGAGAAGGCAAAAUUUGUCCUCCUGACUACAAGAUGCCAAGAUACAUUUGUAUCGAGCCACUGAAUUCUCUACCCCUUCUGUAGAGGUGGUUGGGGAAGAGCUGCAGUAGGAAGCUGGGUCCCAAGUAAUGAAGGACCUUUAGAAGCAGAAGGUGUUAGGGUGGGGGCAAAGGACUGAACUCUGACCAACCAGAAGAAAGGAAAAACUGGAGUUCCUUUCCCCUAGGCUCCAGCCCUCACCAGCAGGGACUCAACAAACGCCAUCUGUCAGAUGAGUCAUGGGACCAGAAGCUUGGGAGAAGACAUGCAGAGCCAACCACUAACAAAACUGGCAAAUGAAAUAAAUGCCCAGAAA
rnacentral:lncRNA from 1 species